GGAGAAGAUGUGGGGUGUAGUGGGAGGUGCAGAUGAUGUAAGGUGUAGUGGGAGGUGUAGAUGAUGUAAGGUGUAGUGGGAGGUGGAGAAGAUGUGGGGUGUAGUGGGAGGUGCAGAUGAUGUAAGGUGUAGUGGGAGGUGUAGAUGAUGUAAGGUGUAGUGGGAGGUGGAGAAGAUGUGGGGUGUAGUGGGAGGUGCAGAUGAUGUAAGGUGUAGUGGGAGGUGUAGAUGAUGUAAGGUGUAGUGGGAGGUGGAGAAGAUGUGGGGUGUAGUGGGAGGUGCAGAUGAUGUAGGGUGUAGUGGGAGGUGGAAAAGAUGCAGGGUGUAGUGGGAAAUGGAUCAUCUCUAUACCAUAUGGCAUAGUGAUGAUCCAAUAGUUGAAACCACUCCGCUCCUCACUCCAUUUUCUCUAUUUUUUCUGCAGAUGUUAUAACCUGAUUUAAGGCAACACCCACAAAAUGCUAGAGAAACUCAACAGGUCAGGUAGCAUCUAUGCAAAUGAAGAUGGUCAACGUUUAGGGAUGAGACCCUUCUUCAGGACUGAGAAGGAAGGGGGAAGAUGUCAGAAUAAAAAGAGAUGUGCAUUUAAAGAUUGCCCAGUUCUGGCACUGUGGAAAGAAGUGUUCCAUUCAGAGGGGAAAAUAGAGAGAAAAAUAACAAAUCUGUGUGUGGUCAUAACUGUAUGAUCCAUUACAGUAAUCACUGAUAUUCAAAGGCAAACAAACUUCCAAGUACAAAGAGCUGCCAUAAAAUAUUCAGAAUUCUCCUAAUGACUCAGUAGAUGCUGCCUCAUCAGUUGAAUAUUUCCUGCAUUACAGUUUGUAUUGAAGCUUUUUUCCUAUAUUCAAGACCUGUGGUAUUUAACUAAUUCUAUCAAAUUUCUGUAGAUGUACUAUUGAAUAUAACCUGAUUGCUUGCAUCAUAGUCUGGUACAGCAAUUUGAACGUACAAGGAUGCAGGAGCUGUAGAGAAUAGUAAAAAUGAGAUUCUGCCAAAACCCUUCUUCUGGACGUUAUGAGCACAUCUGACCCAUCAUUAUUUACUACAGAAGGUCAUCAUUAGGGGAUCAGAGGUGGAGAGGGUCAAUAACUUUAAAUUCUUUUGUGUUACCCUAUCAGCAAAUCUGUCCUGUGUGUGUGGCCUCCGUCGGUUGUGGUCGACCAUGGGUUCUGCGCCUCUGGUAGUCACUGGUUUGUCGAGCAGCGUCGACUGUGGCUAUUGAGGCCAAUCCUGGAAUGGCAGGCUCUGCCACAGUUGCUGCAUGUGUAGGGCGCCAUGGAAUUGUUGUCCGCUAUCCGCUGUGCUCUCCGCUCCUCAAAUCACUCUUUCGCCUUGCUCUAGGUGUUGCUGAAGAAUACCUCGCCAUUUGUUGCCGUCAUCUGCUGUAUCCUCCCGGCACUCUGUGCUGAUUUUUUAAGGCUUUCAUGUCGCGCUUGCAGAUGUCCUAAAAGCGAAGCUGGGGUCUACCAAUGUUUCUCUUGCCUGUUGCUGGUUCUCCGUAGAGGAUGUCCUCUGGCAGUCUACCAUCCUUCAUAUGACGGACCUGGCCCAGCCAGCGCAGUCUGCAUUGUCUUAAAAGCGUGAACAUUGUGGGAAGUCCAGCAUAGGAGGGGACCUCAAAGUUUGGGACUUUUUCUCUCUCCAGGCGAAGCGGAGGAUGUGGCAAAGGCUGUGCAGGCGAAAACUAUUGAGUUUCCUCUCCUGCUUGGAGUAGCUGGUCCAAGUCUCGCUACCGUACAGGAGGGUGCUGAUAACGCAUGCAUUGUUCACAGCAGUCUUGGUCUUUGUAGCGAGUUUUGGAUUCUCCCAGACCCACGAGGAGAGUCGAGCAAAGAUCGAUGCUGCUUUGCCAAUACACCUAUUGAUUGCAGCAUCGAGGGACAGAGUGUCGCUAAUGGUUGACCCCAAGUAUGUGAGCUCGUGGACUAUCUGAAAUCUGUCCUGUGACAAUCACAGAAGUGCCAUCACAAAGGCAUGACAGUUCUCCCACUUCCUUAAAAGUCAUCUAAAACUUUGACAAACUUCUAUAGAUGUAUAGUAGAGAGUAUUCUGACUGGUUGCAUCACAGAGUGCUGUGGAAACAUCAGUGCCCAAGAUCAGAAACAUUUUCAAAAGCAACAUGCAGAAAAUGGUAGAGGAAUUCAGCAGAUCAGGCAGCAUCGAUGGAAAUGAACAAAUGUUUUGGGCCAAAAGCCUUCUUCAGGACUGGAAAGGAAGGGGAAGAUGCCAGAAUAAAAAUGAGGGAGGGGGAGGGGAAGAAGGCUAGCUAGAAGGUAACAGGUGAAGCCAGGUGGGUAGGGUGGUCAAGGGUUGGAGAUAAAGGAAUCUGAUAGAAGAGGAGAGUGGACCAUAGAAGACAGGGAAGGAGGAAGGGCACCAGGGGGAGGUAUAGGCAGGUGAAAAGGCCAGAAUGGGGAAUAGAAGAAGAGGGGAGGGGGAGAGAAAUUAUUAUCACUGGAAGGAGAAAUUGAAAUGUAUGCCAUCAGGUUGGAGGCUACCCAGAUGGAAUAUAAAAUAUUGUUCCUCAUUGUGGCAAAAGAGGAGACCAUGGAUUGAUGUGUUAUAAUGGGUAUGAGAAUAGGAAUUAAAAUGUUGGGCUACUGGCAAGUUGUGGUGGAUACAGCCCAGUCCAUCACAGGAAAAGUCCUUCCCAUAAUUGAGCACAUUUACAAGGAGCACUGUCACAGGAAAGCAGCAUCCACGAUCAAAGACCCUCCCCAUUCAAGCUAUGCUCUCAUCUCACUGCUGCCAUUGUGGAGGAGCUACAGGAGCCUUAGCCACACCAGUUGGUUCAAGACCAAUAUUGCCCUUCAGCUAUCAGACUCUUGAACCAGCAUGGAUCGCUUCACUCAGCUCAACUCUGAACUGACUCCACAAAAUAAAGCAAAGAAGAGAAAAUCUGCAGAUGCUGGAAAUCAAAGUAAUACACUCAAAGUGGUGG